rnacentral:lncRNA from 1 species
CGAGCUCAGUGUGAGUCUGAAACAUGAAUAAAAGGUAAAAGAUGGAGUGAAAAAAUAAAUACUUCAGACAAGCAUGUGCAUAAAAAUAUCACUUACGAAAGUCUCAAUCAGUAUGUCAAAUACAAUAUCAAACCACAGAAAUGAUUUUCCAGUCAUACGCAAUAAUCAAAUCAUAUUACAUGACAUUAACUAUAUUGUCAAUAACUAGAAGUUCACACAAACAAACAAAAUGUUUUGACAAAUAGACGUAUAUUCAGAUGCGAACAGAUGCACAAGUCAAAAUCCCACCCCAACCAAACACCACUUCAUCCAUCCAGUACACCACAUAAGGGCUAUGGUAGGCCCGUCCACCAUGCAUACCAUAUAGAACCAUAAUAGAUUCGUCCACCCUACACACCACAACGUGGAUCUAUGCCACUUGAGUAACUAUAUACAACUGAGCUGAUAUACUUAUAGAAUAGUGCGGUAAAUCGUUGUACAAAAGUAUUGCAGUUAAAACUGCUAAGUCUGUCUUCCUUCUUUCCAUAACCAGAUCCCAAAAUUUUCAUACUAUGCAACAAUACACACAUUACGCCAACAAUAUACAAAAAUAAACAUUAACAUUUCCAGUUGAAUAGAUUUAGAUUUGAUUACACUUGUAUUCUAAUAUUCAGUUACGAAAACAAUAAUAAACUCAUACUUAUUCAUCACAUAAACAAACGAUAAAAUUAAAGCCCAUAAACGCAUAUAUAUACACAAAUCAAACUAGAUCAAGUCCCAAACACACUUACUAAGGCUUGACCGAGGGUCGGAUUACACAGAAACAUAAAAUAGAUAGUUUAUGACUCAAAACAAAAAUUCUACAAAAUAGGGCCAUAUGGCCGUGUGCUUCGGCCAUGUGGAAGUGUCUAGGUCGUGUGGAGGCUUACACACCCAUGUGAAGGCUACACACACCUGUGUGGAGGGGACACACGCCUGCGUGAGUAGCUUGUGUAACUCACUGUCCAAAAAUGCCAAAAAUAAGGAGUAGAAGCGACACGGCCGUGUAGAGAUCUCACACACUCGUGUGGGUACACACAUGCGUGUGGCUAGGCCAUGUGGAACCAAAAACCAUUGAAAACCCUAAAUUCCCAAUUGCACACGGUCGUGUGGACCACCCGUGUACGGCACACGCCUGUGUGGCCACCCGUGUGGUCAUAAAACUAUACCGAAACAGCCUAAAAUUUGUAUCUUUAACACCGAAACAGUC